rnacentral:rRNA from 1 species
AGUAUUAUAUUUAUAUAAAGUUAAUUUUUUUUUUUAAGGUAAAAUUUUGUUAAAAAUUAUUUUUGUAAUUAUUUUAUUCUAGUAAAUUUUAUUUUAAACUAGGAUUAGAUACCCUAUUAUAAAAAUUUAAAAAUAAUAACUAAAAAAUUAAUAGUUAAGUUCUUUAAAUUUAAAAAAUUUGGCGGUAUUUUAGUCUUAUUAGAGGAACCUGUAUCAUAAUUGAUAAUCCACGAUUUAUUUUACUUAAUUUUAAAAUUUAUAUAUCGCUGUCAUGAAUAUAUUUAAAAAUUUAUUUUCUUUAAUUAAUUUAAUAAUUUAUGUUAAGUCAAGAUGUAGUUAAUAAUUAAGUGUUUUAUGGGUUACAUUAAAUUUUAUUUAUGGAUUUAAUAUGAAAAUUUUAAUCAAUUUGGAUUUAAUAGUAAAUUUAAUUAUUUUUUUAAUAUGAAUAAAGAUCUAAAAUAUGUACAUAUUGCCCGUCAUUCUUAUUAAAAAUAAGACAAGUCGUAACAAAGUAAAUGUACUGGAAAGUGUAUUUAGAAAGA